GAUGAACGCUGGCGGCGUGCCUAACACAUGCAAGUCGAACGGAGAUUACAGACGGAAGUUUUCGGAUGGAAGUCAGUAAUUCUUAGUGGCGGACGGGUGAGUAACGCGUGGGCAACCUGCCCUAUACAGGGGGAUAGCAGCUGGAAACGGCUGGUAAGACCGCAUAAGUCGUUCUGGUCGCAUGACCGGGACGGGAAAUGAGUAAUCAGGUAUAGGAUGGGCCCGCGUCCGAUUAGCCAGUUGGCAGGGUAAGAGCCUACCAAAGCAACGAUCGGUAGCCGGACUGAGAGGUCGGACGGCCACAUUGGGACUGAGACACGGCCCAAACUCCUACGGGAGGCAGCAGUGGGGGAUAUUGCACAAUGGAGGAAACUCUGAUGCAGCGACGCCGCGUGAGUGAAGAAGUAUUUCGGUAUGUAAAGCUCUAUCAGCAGGGAAG
rnacentral:rRNA from 1 species